UAGGUGUCUCUAUUUUACACACAUGUUAAGUA
rnacentral:piRNA from 1 species